rnacentral:rRNA from 1 species
AUGAAAUACCUGGGCUCAAUUCUCCACAAACUCAACAACCUCAAGUCCAUAAUUCUGGCAUCUGCAUGUUCCUGUCCUGUAAAUACUUCGAGUGUGAGCAUUUCAUGUGUUGGCUUGAGCAACGUGUCUCCUGCUCUGGCCCAUCUCGUGAGACUUGAGUUAUUGCCACGGAUUUGCAUCUUUCCCAGCCUCCCGAACUGGUUUAAAACACUGGACAAACUCUUCACUCUGAAGAUAGCAAUCAGAGAGUUGUCGAACAGUGAUAUUGAUAUCGUUAAAGGGUUACCUGCCCUCGCUGCUUUCUCGCUGUGCAUCCAGACAGCGCCUGCAGAGAGGAUUGUCUUUGGCAAGGCUGGAUUUUCAGCUCUCAAGUACUUCAAGUUGAGGUGCAGUAAACUGUUGCUGAAAUUUGAGGCUGAUGCAAUGCCUAAUCUUCAGAAGCUCAAGCUAGUCUUCAAUGUUCAGGAAGUGCAGCAGCAUGGAGCUGGAGCUAUCUGCAUCGAGCACUUGGCAGGGCUUAAAGAGAUAUCCGCAAAAAUUGGGGGUGCAGGUGCUGCUGGCACAGAGUCUGCCUUGAGGAUUUCUGUUAGCAAUGAUCCAAAAAAUCCAAAAAUCAAUGGUCAGCUGGUGAACUGGAAUUUCUGUGCCGACGAAGAUGGGAUUAUCGCGGCACCAGACCGAGCAGCUCUGAUUAUGGAAGAACGAGGUGAGAUCCUGGAGGAAAACACAGAAUAUGAGUACAAAAGAGAAGAUGGGGACCGACAACCUGAUAGCGGCAUUUCUACGCUGCUGGAGCCCUCUGUCCCGUUCCCUGAGAGACCCACCGACCGGCCACAUGGCCAGAGGCUCCUUUCUGCGUGGUCCAGGGCCAGGCACACCUUGAAAGCUGUGCCCCGCACCUUGAAAGCCGGCAAUGAGGGCCACGGUGUUGGGAGUGUAAAAUUAUUCAGCUAUAAGGAGUUGGAUAGGGCAACUGCAAGAUUUCACCAAUCCAAUAAGAUUGGUGAGGGAGGUUAUGGACCAGUGUAUAAGGGAACGCUCAAGGAUGGAACAGCUGUUGCAGUAAAGGUGCUCUCUUUGCAGUCUAGGCAAGGCGCGAAGGAAUUUCUUAGUGAACUUAUGGCGAUCUCUGAUAUUUCCCAUGAGAAUCUUGUCAAACUUUAUGGCUGUUGUGUGGAAGGAAGCCACAGGAUCCUUGUCUAUAAUUAUCUUGAAAAUAAUAGCCUUGCACAAACCCUUCUAGGUUCUCAGCGUAGCAGCAUCCAGUUCAAUUGGAGAACUCGGGUGAAUAUUUGCAUUGGUGUUGCCCAGGGACUAGCAUACCUCCACGACGGUAUCCGGCCUCACGUUGUCCAUCGUGACAUCAAAGCAAGCAAUAUACUUCUCGAUAAGGAUCUUACCCCGAAAAUUUCUGAUUUCGGCUUAACAAGGCUUCUACCUUCAGGUGUAGCACAUAUUAGCACAAGAGUCGCAGGAACACGAGGUUACUUGGCUCCUGAAUACGCCAUCCGAGGACAAGUGACACGGAAGUUAGAUGUUUACAGCUUUGGUGUUCUGCUGAUAGAAAUAGUCAGUGGAAGAUGCAACACUGAUACAAGACUGUCGUACGAAGAUCAGAUUCUUCUUGUGAAGACAUGGGAAUACUAUGACCAGGGGCAACUGGACAAGAUCAUCGACAGCUCGCUGGGCGACGACCUGGACGUCGACGAGGCGUGCAGGUUCCUGAAAGUGGGGCUCUUGUGCACGAAGAACGUCACGAAACGCCGGCCCGAUAUGUCGACGGUGACCCGCAUGCUGAGGGGCGAGGAGGACAUGGAGUCGCAGGAGAUCAUUAAGCCCGACGUGAUCCGGGACAUCAUGGACCUGAAGCUGAGGAGCAAGGCCACGUCAUCGUCGCUGCUGACCUCAGCCGUGGGGCAGUCCUCCCCGUCGUCGUCAUCCAUGGGCAACACCACCCGCGCCUCCAGCACCUUCACCGCGACAUCGGACCGCCCCUGA